GAUGAACGCUAGCUACAGGCUUAACACAUGCAAGUCGAGGGGUAACGAGAGGGAAGCUUGCUUUCCUUGUCGACGACCGGCGCACGGGUGAGUAACGCGUAUCCAACCUGCCCCCAACUAGGGAAUAACCUUGCGAAAGUAAGACUAAUACCCUAUAAUUUCCUCAGAUGUCAUCUGACGAGGAAUAAAGAUUUAUCGGUUGUGGAUGGGGAUGCGUCUUGAUUAGCUUGUUGGCGGGGUAACGGCCCACCAAGGCAACGAUCAGUAGGGGUUUUGAGAGGAAGGUCCCCCACAUUGGAACUGAGACACGGUCCAAACCCCUACGGGAGGCAGCAGUGAGGAAUAUUGGUCAAUGGGCGGAAGCCUGAACCAGCCAAGUAGCGUGCAGGAUGACGGCCCUAUGGGUUGUAAACUGCUUUUAUACAGGAAUAAAGUUAGCCACGUGUGGUUAUUUGUAGGUACUGUAUGAAUAAGGACCGGCUAAUUCCGUGCCAGCCGCCGCAGUAA
rnacentral:rRNA from 1 species